CCUACGGGAGGCAGCAGUGAGGAAUAUUGGUCAAUGGGCGCGAGCCUGAACCAGCCAAGUCGCGUGAGGGAAGACGGUCCUAUGGAUUGUAAACCUCUUUUGUCGGGGAGCAAAAGACGCCACGCGUGGCGUUCCGAGAGUACCCGAAGAAAAAGCAUCGGCUAACUCCGUGCCAGCAGCCGCGGUAAUACGGAAGGCCCGAGCGUUAUCCGGAUUCAUUGGGCUUAAAGGGAGCGUAGGCGGGCGUUCAAGUCAGCUGUAAAAUCGCGCGGCUCAACCGCGCCCCGCAGUUGAAACUGGACGCCUUGAGUUCACAACAGGCAGGCGGAAUUCGUGGUGUAGCGGUGAAAUGCAUAGAUAUCACGAGGAACCCCGAUUGCGAAGGCAGCCUGCCGGGGUGCGACUGACGCUGAGGCUCGAAGGUGCGGGUAUCAAACAGGAUUAGAUACCCCAGUAGUC
rnacentral:rRNA from 1 species